UUGUCUCUCUCCAAAAGUUUUCCCCUUCUCUUUCUCUUCCAUGUGACCAACAUAUGUGGGUUCCUUCUUCGGUUAGAACAAAGUUUAUAUGAAAAGAUAGAGUGUUGGAGGGGUUGAGGGGAAAGGGCAGAGAAGAGAAGAGAAGAGGAGGAAAGGGAAAGAGCGUUGCAUGUGUAUGCGUGCAUGUUGUGUAUUUGCACGUGUGUGCUGUAUUAUUUCUGUGUGAGAGUGAGAAAAGCACCCUUUGUGUAGCGCUGCCAAGCCAGCUGAUGUUUUCUGCCGACUUUGCCCUUGUUCAGUUACUCUUGGACCGUGCUUCCGAGAUAAAGCUGAAGCUACGAAGAGUUUACUCGAGUUUCUUCGUUGGACGUCGAAAGGACGACCUUGACCUUUGCGAACGAGGUCAAUUUAAGAAGGAGAAACUGAGCGAUCAAGAUGAUCCCGGAUUUAGAUAAUCCACAGUAUAUUCCUAUGCCAAUGACAAUGGAGAAGAAGAAGUCAAGACAAUGGGAUAACAGUUUGCCUAAAAGUUCGCUUCAAGAUCAUCGAUCUCCUAUGGCGUGGUCCAGAUUGGAAUGGCUUUUAUCAGCGUUCAAGGCUAACGGGCAAAAGUGCAACAUGCAGACCAUUAUAGAAUCUACUUUUCGCGGAGAUGAUUUAUUUUAUACGAAUGAUAAUCAAUCGCAAGAAUGUUCGCGACCUUCUUCAUCCUAUUCAUCAUAUUCUACGUCAUCUUCGCCAUCAUCAUCGUUUUCGUAAUAUUUGUUAUUGCAACACUCGUUCAGAUCUAAUAACUUAUCCUCGAAUUACCAGUCAUUAUUUUUUAGCAUAAGUAUUAUUGAACAAAGUAUUCCCCCCACUUACGAUCACCAUCCUUGUCACUUUCAUCCUUCCUUCGAUGAAUCAUUCUCACCUGACCAUGUCAGUUUUUAUUUUCUCAAAUUUAUCAUAUAGCGACAUUUAAGAUACUAAAGGCUAGUAAAGAUUUUUAUUACUAUUGCUAUACCACCCAAACUGAUAUUAAAUGAUUGUAUUAUGCUCGUAUAUUACAAAAUCCAAAGAAUAUAUAAGUUAAUAGUCGUAUAGUAAAAUAACUGCAACGAAUAAUACUCGUGAUUAGUAUAAAUGGGGAUAAGAAGAAAGUCUCUGACGUAUCUGACGAAACCAAAUGUUUCCUCUUAAUACUUGUAAUUAGCUGACAAUUUCUCACAAUAGCAAUUAAUAUUUUCUUUACAUUUGUAUACAUUUGUCGGAUGCAUAUUCGUUUAUCUCGUUGCAUUUCUAUCAAAUGUUGUUGCACUUUCUAGUCAGUAGACCAUGCAAUAAAAUUAAAUUCUUUAAGUAUAAAAAGAAACAAAUAUUAUGUAUUUAGAUUAUCAUUUUGUAUCGGCAUUGAUUGCUAUUACGAAAAAGAAAACCUUACGUGUUUAAUUAAUUAUAUACGAACGAUAAAUAUCUCGAGAAAAAUACUCGUGACACAGGAUGUGUAAUAGAUUAGGAUAGGUUUUUUUUAUGCACUCUCGUUGAAUGUCGACGAAAUGUCAUGCCGUUGUCUUGAUUAAACUUUUUUUUUUUUGUUUUUUUUUUUCUACCAAAGACUUGUGUUCUAUUUGCAUUUAAAAUGCAAAAUAAUUUGUAAGAUAUUUACAUAAACGUUAAAUCCUAAACGUGACUCGCUUUUACAUGUACAAUUUAAUAUACGUUGUUAUAUGUGAUUUUGUAGUCAUGGACCAAAUAUAAAUAAAUCUGUAAAAAAAUACGAUGAUGUAUAAAGCA
rnacentral:lncRNA from 1 species